UACGAAGGGGGCUAGCGUUGCUCGGAAUGACUGGGCGUAAAGGGCGCGUAGGCGGCGUUUUAAGUUGGGGGUGAAAGCCUGUGGCUCAACCACAGAAUUGCCUCCGAUACUGGGACGCUUGAGUGGGGUAGAGGUUGGUGGAACUGCGAGUGUAGAGGUGAAAUUCGUAGAUAUUCGGAAGAACACCGGUGGCGAAGGCGGCCAACUGGACCAUCACUGACGCUGAGGCGCGAAAGCGUGGGGAGCAAACAGG
rnacentral:rRNA from 1 species